rnacentral:rRNA from 1 species
AACGAACGCUGGCGGCAUGCCUAACACAUGCAAGUCGAACGAGACCUUCGGGUCUAGUGGCGCACGGGUGCGUAACGCGUGGGAACCUGCCUUUAGGUUCGGAAUAACUCAGAGAAAUUUGAGCUAAUACCGGAUGAUGUCUUCGGACCAAAGAUUUAUCGCCUUUAGAUGGGCCCGCGUUGGAUUAGCUAGUUGGUGGGGUAAAGGCCUACCAAGGCGACGAUCCAUAGCUGGUCUGAGAGGAUGAUCAGCCACACUGGGACUGAGACAAGGCCGAGACUACUACGGGAGGGAGCAGGGGGGAAGAUUGGAAAAUGGGCGAAAGCCUGAUCCAGCAAGGCCGCGAGAGUGAGGAAGGAGUUAGGGUGGUAAAGCUCUUUUACCCGGGAUGAUAAGGACAGUAUCGGGAGAAUAAGCUCCGGCGAACUCCGG